GGUGAUUCCGAGAGUUCCCCCAAACACUUCAAUAAGGACGAAGAAAAACUGAGUCCUUAAUGAACUGUUGAGGGGAACUCUAGGAGCACC
rnacentral:pre_miRNA from 1 species